rnacentral:rRNA from 1 species
GACGAACGCUGGCGGCGCGCCUAACACAUGCAAGUCGAGCGGAGAUACUUGAAGGAAGUUUUCGGAUGGAAUUUGAGUAUUUUAGCGGCGGACGGGUGAGUAACGCGUGAGUGACCUGCCUUCCACAGGGGGAUAACGUACCGAAAGGUACACUAAUACCGCAUGAGACCACAGCACUGCCUGGUGCAGGGGUCAAAGGAGCAAUCCGGUGGAAGAUGGACUCGCGUCCGAUUAGAUAGUUGGUGGGGUAACGGCCUACCAAGUCAGCGAUCGGUAGCCGACCUGAGAGGGUGAUCGGCCACAGUGGAACUGAGAGACGGUCCAAACUCCUACGGGAGGCAGCAGUGGGGAAUAUUGGGCAAUGGGGGAAACCCUGACCCAGCGACGCCGCGUGAGGGAAGAAGGUUUUCGGAUUGUAAACCUCUGUUCUUGGUGAAGAGGGAAAGACGGUAGCCAAGGAGGAAGCCCCGGCUAACUACGUGCCAGCAGCCGCGGUAA